CAAUUUUUAAAGCUAUUUUAGAAUUUGUCUAACAGGUUUUCCGUUUUGUUUUGUUUUUUACUGGAAAUCCCUC
ensembl:snRNA U7 U7 small nuclear RNA